UCACCGGAGCUUGCUCCACCGAAAGAAAAAGAGUGGCGAACGGGUGAGUUAACACGUGGGUUACCUGUUCAUCAGAAGGGGAUAACACUUGGAAACAGGUGCUAAUACCGUAUAACACUAUUUUCCGCAUGGAAGAAAGUUGAAAGGCGCUUUUGCGUCACUGAUGGAUGGACUCCGCGGUGCAUUAGCUAGUUGGUGAGGUAACGGCUCACCAAGGCAACGAUGCAUAGCCGACCUGAGAGGGUGAUCGGCCACACUGGGACUGAGACACGGCCCAGACUCCUACGGGAGGCAGCAGUAGGGAAUCUUCGGCAAUGGACGAAAGUCUGACCGAGCAACGCCGUGUGAGUGAAGAAGGUUUUCGGAUCGUAAAACUCUGUUGUUAGAGAAGAACAAGGUAUGAGAGUAAAA
rnacentral:rRNA from 1 species